AUGGGUUCCAUCCCGGAUACCUUUGGAAAUUUGACUAAGCUCACUACCUUGCAAUUCAGUUACAAUCAACUAUUUGGACAUGUCCCUCGAGAAAUUGGCAACUUAACGAAUCUUGAGAAACUCGAGUUCUCCAACAACUACCUCUCUGGUCCUCUGCCACCCAAUUUGUGCAUUAGUGGUCGGCUCAAGAAUUUAACUGUAGAAGAUAACUACCUGAAUGGACCUUUGCCAUCAAGCUUGUUAAACUGUAGAAGCCUUGUCAGAGUUCGUCUUGAGAUGAAUCAACUAGAAGGAGAUAUUUCGGAGAUGGGAGCUCAUCCAAAUCUAGUGUACAUAGAUAUGAGGUCAAAUAAACUAUUUGGUCAAUUAUCUUAUAAAUGGGGGGAGUCUCGUAAACUUAACAAGCUAAGUAUCUCAAACAACAACAUCACAGGUAAAAUACCCGCAAAUAUGGGGCAAAUGUGUCAACUAAAGAUACUUGAUCUUUCAUCAAACAAGCUUGAGGGAGAGAUUCCAAGUGAACUGGGAAAACUUAAAAACUUGUUCCACCUGAGCCUCGCAGAUAAUUCACUCCAUGGAAGCAUACCACAAGAAAUUUGGUCCCUAUCUAGUCUGGAGUUUUUGGAUUUUUCGUCAAAUUGCCUAAGUGGUUUGGUACAAGGAUCAAUUGAGAAUUGUUUGAUGCUUCGCUCAUUUAAUUUGAGACAGAAUAACUUCAAAGGAAGCAUUCCUACUGUUCUAGGGGUAUUGAAAAACUUACAAGACAAGUUGGAUUUAAGUGAUAAUUCAUUUGUUGGGGCAAUACCAAGCCAACUUAGUGACCUGACCAUGCUAGAAACUUUGAAUCUUUCAAACAAUGCACUUACUGGCUUGAUCCCAUCAUCAUUUAAGAGAAUGGAAAGCUUGACAUUGAUUGAUUUAUCUUAUAAUGAAUUAGAAGGGCCAGUACCAGAGAGUAAGCUCUUCCGAGGAGCUCCAAUCCAAUGGUUCAUGCAUAAUAAGAUGAUAUGUGGUGCUGUGAAAGGAUUGCCCCCUUGUAGUAGUGCAACUCAGAAUGGAGGGAAAAUGGAAGGAUACAAAACACUUGCACUAGCCAUGGUUACUACUACGAUAUGUCUUGUUCUUGUUGUAUCUAUAUUGGUGUUUCGACAUGGGAGGAACAAAUCAAAGUCAAUUGUCAAUUCUAGAGUUACACAAGAAAACGUAUUCUCUAUUUGGAGUUUUGAUGGGGCAAAUGUGUUCAAGCAAAUUGUGGAAGCAACCAACAAUUUUAGUGAGACACAUCGCAUAGGAACCGGGGGAUAUGGAUCUGUCUACAAAGCUAGAGUUUCAACAUGUGAAAUAUUUGCGGUGAAGAAGAUACAUAUGAUACAAGAUGACUGUUGUGUGAGCGAGGCAAUGUUCAAUUCUGAAAUAGAGGCAUUGGUGCGGAUUCGACAUCGAAACAUCGUCAAACUAUUUGGGUAUUGUUCCUCCAGACAAGAAAGGUUCCUUAUCUAUGAAUAUAUGGAGAGAGGAGACCUAGCAGAAAUAUUGAGAUCCAAUGCAAGAGCAAUCGAGUUAGACUGGAGAAGGCGGAUACAUAUUGUACUGGACGUGAUUCAUGCUUUGGCAUACAUGCAUCAUGAUUGUUCUUCACCAAUAGUCCACAGAGAUAUAACGAGCAACAACAUUUUGCUUGAUCUGGAAUUUCGAGCUUGCAUUUCGGACUUCGGUACUGCUAAAAUUCUUGAUAUUGAUGGCCAGAAUAUCACAAGGCUUGCAGGGACAAAAGGCUAUCUUGCACCAGAGCUAGCAUAUACAGAGAAUGUGACGGAGAAAUUUGAUCUAUAUAGCUUCGGAGUGCUUGUUUUGGAGUUAUUUGCGGGAUGCCAUCCAGGCGAUUUGCUCUCAUCCUUCUCGUUGAGAACCAAAAAUAAUGAUGUUUACCUAAAGGAUCUGCUGGACUUGAGACUCGUGCUACCAGAUGCCGCAACCACUAGAGAAAUAUACUCCAUGCUUAGUGUUGCAGUUCAAUGCCUUGAGCCAAGUCCAUCACGCAGACCAACGGCACGGCAUGCCCGUGAUGAGUUAUCAACGAUUAAAGCAUGUGCAAAUCAUAUUGAUUUUAUACAUGCUAGGCUCACCAUUCCUACACAAUAG
rnacentral:rRNA from 1 species